rnacentral:rRNA from 1 species
UUCCGGUUGAUCCUGCCGGAGGCUACCGCUAUUGGAGUUCGAUUAAGCCAUGCGAGUCGCGAGAAAUUAGAUUCUCGGCGUACCGCUCAGUAACACGUGGGUAACCUAACCUAUGCAGGGGAAUAACCUCGGGAAACUGAGAAUAAUGCCCCAUAGUCCACUACGCCUGGAACGGUGAGUGGAUGAAAGCUCAGGCGGCAUAGGAUGGGCCUGCGGCGUAUCAGGUUGUAGGGGGUGUAAAGUACCCUCUAGCCCUCUACGCGUACGGGUGUUGGGAGACAUAGCCCGGAGAUGGAUUCUGAGACACGAAUCCAGACCCUACGGGGUGCAGCAGGCGCGAAAACUUGGCAAUGCGAGCAAUCGUGACCAGGGAACUCCAAGUGGCUGGGGUAAGACCCAGUCUUUUCAGAACUCUUCAAAGGUUUUAGAAUAAGGGGUGGGUAAGGACGGUGCCAGCCGCCGCGGUAAUACCGGCGCCUCAAGUGGUAGUCGCUUUUAUUGGGCCUAAAACGUCCGUAGCCGGUUUGGUACAUUCGUGGGUAAAUCAACUCGCUCAACGAGUUGAAUUCUGCGAGGACGGCCAGACUUGGGACCGGGAGAGGUGUGGGGUACUCUCAGGGUAGGGGUAAAAUCCUGUCAUCCUGAGAGGACCACCUGUUGCGAAGGCGCCACACUAGAACGGAUCCGACGGUCAGGGACGAAGCCUAGGGGCACGAACCGGAUUAGAUACCCGGGUAGUCCUAGGUGUAAACGCUGUGGACUUGAUGUUGGAGGAGCUCCGAGCUCUUUCAGUGUCGAAGCGAAGGUGAUAAGUCCACUGCCUGGGAAGUACGGUCGCAAGGCUGAAACUUAAAGGAAUUGGCGGGGGAGCACCGCAACCUGAGGAUUGUGCGGUUUAAUUGGAGUCAACGCCGG